GCCAUACCAACCUGAACACACCCAAUCUUUUCUGAUAUUGGAAUCUAAGCAGGGUCAGGCCUGAUUAGUGCUUGGAUGGUCGGAAAUUUCUUUUAUGCUAAAACUACACCAGUGUGGGAAAUCCAGUAGC
rnacentral:rRNA from 1 species